rnacentral:rRNA from 1 species
UACGUAGGGUGCGAGCGUUAAUCGGAAUUACUGGGCGUAAAGCGUGCGCAGGCGGUUUUGUAAGCCAGAUGUGAAAUCCCCGGGCUCAACCUGGGAAUGGCAUUUGGGACUGCAAGGCUGGAGUACGGCAGAGGAGACUGGAAUUCCUGGUGUAGCAGUGAAAUGCGUAGAGAUCAGGAGGAAUACCGAUGGCGAAGGCAGGUCUCUGGGCCACUACUGACGCUGAGAAGCGAAAGCAUGGGGAGCGAACAGG